rnacentral:rRNA from 1 species
CGCGACGGGUGGAGUAACACGUGGGUAACCUGCCCUUGAGUUCGGGAUACCCCCUCGAAAGGGGGGCUAAUACCGGAUACGUUCCUCGGAUCGACAGGUCUGGGGAGGAAAGGUGGCGCAAGCUGCCGCUCUUGGAGGGGCUCGCGGCCUAUCAGCUAGUUGGCGGGGUAACGGCCCACCAAGGCUAUGACGGGUAGCUGGUCUGAGAGGACGACCAGCCACACGGGGACUGAGACACGGCCCCG